rnacentral:lncRNA from 1 species
CUGACUCUUUGUGGAAGACUAGUGAUUUUGUUGUUAUAAGCUCAUUUGCAUGACAACAAGUCACAGUCUGCCUCAGAGUGCCCAGCAUUCUCAUCAUCAAUGGAAAAAAAUGGAAAGGAGUUUGUAGUGACCUGGAUACUAAAAUGUGUUUUGCUUUUUUUUCCUUCAAUUUUUAAUAAGACCUCUAAUACUGAAAUAUUCAGAACUCGCCCCGAACUUCACACAAACUGAACUGAAGCAAAUCGUUUUUUAUUUUUUCCUCUUCUGUUCCUUUAAUAAUGAAUAAUGAAUGUUUAUUUUACUUAGCUGUGGUAAACUAGUACUGCAGGUGCAAAAUAAUGGAGUGUUUCAGUAUCUUUUAAUACCUGUUUCUUUAAGGACCAAACUUCUGGAAUAAAAGGGAAUCAUGACAUGUCACACAUGUCAUGUGUCCUUAAGGAGUUAAGACCAAAUUUAGAAAUACAUACCACUUUCUCCUGCAAAGGUGGGCCUUCACUUCAGUUCCUUCUCAGUUCUGUUCUGUGUAUGUUCCCUAAGCUGACUGCCAGUUGCAAAGAAGACAAAGGUCAACAUAAGUUAUAGGUGAUUUCAAAGUUUUGUUAACUGGUGCAAAUUUCAGGAAAGUAAUACUCCCCCUUUAAGGAAAAAAUAAAAAAUAAAAUGUUAAACCAUUUAUUUUUUAUAUAUGCACAGAUGUUACUAUGCAGCACUAUAUUUACUCUUUCAGCAUUUAUCUGUUGCAUCACAUUAUAAAUAAAAUUCCGUUUACAAAUUUAUGCCAGGUGAAUGUAUAGAUAUUUUAAUUAAGUCAAACACAGCGGUAUUUUUACGAUCCUGUGCUUCACGAAUUAGUGGUGGCUGACUACCCUCGUUAACUGAUAACCUCUGUUUUUGAGCUAGCUAAAUCUUGCACUUUAGAGUCGUCAAUCCCAUAAUGCAUUGGGAUAGUACACACAUAAUGUGAAUAUUACUAAGACUGAAACAUAGAUAUAUGCUGCAAACAUAAUUGUUAAAUGUAAUGUAUAAAUUUGCUAGACAUUUUGCUAACACAACCUAAAGAUAGCAAUGCAUUGUCUACAAAGUGUCACUAUGCCAUCUUUGCAUGAUUAAAGGUCACAUUUUAAUAAACGCUGAAUAGUGUAGCACUGUCUGUACAUGCUUUCUUCACCUUUACUCUGAAAUAGAGUCGAGUAAUGUCUUUUGUGAAAAAAACAUAACUCUUAAUUGGUUAGGACUGACUACAUACAAGUCUCAUCUGUCCAGAAAUACGGUUUAUUUUUUUAAUGUUUUUUUCUUUUUAUCCCCAACUGUGAUAACUGUCCCGUUACUAUUGUGUGUUUCUGAUCACCUCAGUUGUUUCAUUUGUUCAUGUUGGAAGUAAAAGCAGCAAGAGGUUGCAUUUGAAACUAUCCUGGACAUCGGACCCAAAACCUAUGACAGACCAACAAUUAGGCUAAUUAGCCAAGUAUUUAGAAAAAAAAACCUGUAUCAGAACUUUUUGUUUAUCAGCUCAUUUCAAAGGAGUGAAAUUAGAACCAAUCUGUCUGUAUUUUUUAUCUUAAUUGAUAUACACAUGUAUGCAUUUUUUUGUUUGUUUUGCAUUAGCCAUUAACAAGGUAAAAAGAAAAGUCAUUGGACUUCCGUCACUGUUUCAGCAAAAUUAACCCAGUGUUUUCUGAUAUUUUUCAAUGUAAAAAAAAAUAUCCCAAAUAUGUUCUUUGAAAAAAUAAAGAUGGUGUAUGAGAAUGAGUUACAUUGUGCACCGAUGGGCAAAAUUGAUCUACUGGAUAUUGGAGCUGUAACUCCAGGCCUGUGACUUACAAUAGACCCCCAGCUCUUAUAUAUAUAUUAUUAUUAUUAUUAUUAUUUAUUAUGAUUAUGUGGGGUUUUUUAAGUUUUUUUUUUUUAAUAGUUUUAUUAGACCAUGGAAUAAGAUGAUAAUCUCCUCACACCUUAACAGAUAAUAAAUAAUGAUUUUUAAAAAUGUACAUAUAGAUAUGCAGUUAUAUUGCAAGAGCACAUGGAUAAUUUAUUUAUGAAUAUUGGGGUUAAGUCUGUCAAUCAAAAUGCAAGUGAAAAUGCAAAAUACCGUGCUUACUUUUAUUUGUGUAAAAUAUGAAUGGUUUUAUUAACAACAAAAUUACUGACGUAACCUUUGAUAGAAGCCCCACAGAUGAUGGUGCAUUUUAAUUUUUUCAUUUACAAACAAAAUACAAGUAAAAAAAAAUGAGUAAAACUUUAGUUUGUAUUUGGUUAAACAGUUUGCUUUAAAUCCUUUACAGUUGCUAUAUGUUUUGUGUAUUAUAAGAAAUGUCAGAAACCCAUAGUCUGGGUACAAUAUGUAUACACAGAGCUUCCUUCCUCUCCCAAUAAAGAUAUUAUUUAAAAGUGAACCUUACACUAUCUGCCAGAGCGUGCCUUUCUUUAUAAUAAAAAGUCACCAGAUCCCGUCUAGUGAACCUUAAUUGAAUUUAAUGCACACCAAGGUACUUAAAGGAAGAAACACAGGAUAGAAAAUGUGUGUUUUAAUGUGAAUCUGUGUGCCAUGAGAACGUUUCUUUGUACAUGAAAUUAGCAAGUUUGGAUAAUUUUAUGGGUUCACCAUGUACAAUCACCAACCUUUGGACUAUGGAAUACAAGUGUAUACCUUCAUCUGCAGUAAAAUGAAUGGACUCUUGAAUUGUUUCCCACUGUGGAAUUCAGCAACUUUUAACUAAUAAAGUGUAUGCAGGAG